GUUUUGGAAUUUAUAUUUUUAACCAACUACCCAGUGAAAACCAUUUCCUCCUCACCAUGGACUCCAUCCAGAGGCUGCACCCAUCUCUCCCACGUCAACAGUCCUGUGUCCUUGGCAGAGGACAGUGCUCUCAUUCUGGGCCUUUCCCUUCUUCCUCGGCCAAAGCCCUGCUCCUGCACCUCCCCGCAGCUAAUAAAAAGGCUGAGUUCCCCGAUGCGGGGCAAGCUCCCA